AUGUACACACAAAGAAUAUCUACAUCUUCUUCAUCUACAACACCUCAAUGGAAAUAUGAUGUUUUUCUCAGUUUUAGAGGCGAUGACACUCGGAAGGGCUUUACAGACCACUUAUAUGAAACAUUGAGAGCUCAAGGAAUCAUAACUUUUAGGGAUGAGCCUAAAAUUUUGAAGGGAAAAGCUAUUUCUCGAGAACUAAUUGCUGCAAUUGAAGGAUCAAGGUUUGCGCAUAUUGUCCUCUCACAAAAUUAUGCAUCCUCAACAUGGUGCUUGGAUGAACUUCUACACAUUCUUAAAUUCAUGCAAGCAAGAGAAGCAGUGCUACCAAUAUAUAUCUCUUUUUAUAUUUUACUUAUGGAAUAUGUUUUGCAUUUGUUAAAGAUUGUUUUGAAGAAGUUUGCAUCACAUAGAAGUUCCUUAAUGUUUUGA
rnacentral:lncRNA from 1 species